CCUACGGGAGGCUGCAGUCGAGAAUCAUUCACAAUGGGGGAAACUCUGAUGGUGCGACGCCGCGUGGGGGAAUGAAGGUCUUCGGAUUGUAAACCCCUGUCAUGUGGGAGCAAAUUAAAAAGAUAGUACCACAAGAGGAAGAGACGGCUAACUCUGUGCCAGCAGCCGCGGUAAUACAGAGGUCGCAAGCGUUGUUCGGAAUCACUGGGCGUAAAGCGUGCGUAGGCUGUUUCGUAAGUCGUGUGUGAAAGGCGCGGGCUCAACCCGCGGACGGCACCUGAUACUGCGAGACUGGAGUGGUGGAGAGGGAACCGGAAUUCGCGGUGUAGGAGUGAAAUGCGUAGAUAUCGAGAGGAACACUAGUGGCGAAGGCGGGUUCCUGGACAUUAACUGACGCUGAGGCACGAAGGCGAGGGGAGCGAAAGGGAUUAGAUACCCGGGUAGUC
rnacentral:rRNA from 1 species